UUACACUGAGAAGAUAUCCGUGCAAUUCGGAUCAUUUUGAACCUUAAAGCUAGCCUUCAAACUAGACCUUAUAA
rnacentral:tRNA from 1 species